rnacentral:ncRNA from 1 species
UUGGUAGUGUAUUAGAUUUUCUUAGUGUUCUGAUAGAUUUCUAGCGAUGCGUGGCAAGGAAGCCACGCAAGGCGUAAUGCGACAUGGAUGUCGCAUAAAAGCCGUUCGCGUAUUAUUGAAUAGCUUGUACAGAACACUUAGAAAAUCUUAUAUACGGA